CCCAAGUGCCUUUCUUCUGCAGAACAAAGCUAUUAAAGAGAUUUCCCGUUUUGCAUGUUUCAUUGGCGCACACAUGCCAGGCACAAAGAAUCCAGCUUCCUGGGACAACAACUGGACUUUUAGCUAUUUUUUCAUUACAGGCCCUUGUGUAUCUCCAAAAGUCAAGCCUUCUUGGUUGCAGUCCUGCUUCUUUGUAAUAGUUUAAUUCCUGAGAACUGACCUGUCUUUUUACAAAAGCCUUGGAAGUGAAUCAAGUAUAACACAACACACUGAGACAGAAAACUUUUCCCACUGCUGAGUUGAAGUGCUCUUCAUUCUUCAUCCAUUGUUGGUUCAGAAGAAAAGUACUCUCCUGCCCCUGUUGCUGAUCCCUAACUUGCCUCUCUUUCAAGUCACAGCAGUCCUCUGACUUCCUUCCAAGAAAGAAAACCAUGGAAACAAUGCAGUUAUCAAGUAUUUGGCUCAUAUCCCAGAAGACCAUCUUUUCUUGGGAGAAUGUCCAUUUUUGGUAAACAAGUGAAAUACAUCUAU